rnacentral:ncRNA from 1 species
UGCCAAGAACCGUGAGGAAACUGUCUCCCCUUGCGGAUCGGGCGAAAUUAAAACACGAAGGAG